rnacentral:lncRNA from 1 species
AGAUUAACAAUCAUCCCCCUGGGAAACAACGGAAUCAGAAGUUCCUGCAAUUUAUCCUCUUUUUUUCAAAUGCCCCUUGGCAAUCAUCAUUCCACCUGACCGUUUGAUUUCUUUCUUUUUUGUUUGUUUUUGGUUCAGGCAUUCCUUGCACUGUUCUCUUUUUUUUUUUUUUGCAGGAUCGACCUCGACUCCUCUUUCGUUUGCAACAUGCCUCGACAGCUUGCUGGACAACACUCCAUAAGUGCGCUAAUUCGAACUCAACAGUAUGAGUUAUCUCUACCUGUCAAACAACUUAAUCCACCGGAUGCCCCUCUUCUGCUUGGGACUUUGCCAUCAUGUCAUCAACAUGGCAUUUGC